UGGGGAAUUUUGGACAAUGGGCGAAAGCCUGAUCCAGCAAUGCCGCGUGUGUGAAGAAGGCCUUCGGGUUGUAAAGCACUUUUGUCCGGAAAGAAAUCCUCUGGGUUAAUACCUCGGGGGGAUGACGGUACCGGAAGAAUAAGCACCGGCUAACUACGUGCCAGCAGCCGCGGUAAUACGUAGGGUGCAAGCGUUAAUCGGAAUUACUGGGCGUAAAGCGUGCGCAGGCGGUUUUGUAAGACGGAUGUGAAAUCCCCGGGCUUAACCUGGGAACUGCAUUCGUGACUGCAAGGCUAGAGUAUGGCAGAGGGGGGUAGAAUUCCACGUGUAGCAGUGAAAUGCGUAGAGAUGUGGAGGAAUACCGAUGGGGAAGGCAGCCCCCUGGGCCAAAUACUGACGCUCAUGCACGAAAAGCGUGGGGGAGCAAACAGGAUUAGAUACCCUGGUAGUCCACGCCCUAAAACGAUGUCAACUAGUUGUUGGGGAUUCAUUUCCUUAGU
rnacentral:rRNA from 1 species